AUCUAUUUCGAUGCCCUCUACAGACACAUCUACUUCUUUAUAUGCAGCUCACAACUAGAAAAUCCAAACUUCCUGAUGAGGAGCAACCAAACAUCAGCCCCGUCAUCAGGAAAGCUUCUCUGAAAAAGGAGAAGAGGAUAAAAAAGAAAACAAAGAAAGAAAAGAAGGAGAAAAAGGACAGAAAGAGGGAGAGGAAGAGGGGGGGAAAGGAGGCGGAACAGAAGGAGGAAGUUAAGGUGCAGGAAAAGAAGGAUGAAAAA